rnacentral:rRNA from 1 species
AACGCUGGCGGCAUGCCUAACACAUGCAAGUCGAACGAAGGCCCAGAGCUUGCUCCGGUGUCCUUAGUGGCGGACGGGUGAGUAACGCGUGGGAACCUACCUUAGAGCGGGGAAUAACUAUUGGAAACGAUAGCUAAUACCGCAUACGCCCUUCGGGGGAAAGGCUUCGGCCACUCCAAGACGGUCCCGCGUCUGAUUAGCUUGUUGGUGAGGUAAUAGCUCACCAAGGCUACGAUCAGUAGCUGGUCUGAGAGGAUGAUCAGCCACACUGGGACUGAGACACGGCCCAGACUCCUACGGGAGGCAGCAGUGGGGAAUAUUGGACAAUGGGGGAAACCCUGAUCCAGCAAUGCCGCGUGAGUGAAGAAGGCCUUAGGGUUGUAAAGCUCUUUCAGAUGUGAAGAUGAUGACUGUAACAUCAGAAGAAGCCCCGG